UACAGAGGGGGCGAGCGUUGUUCGGAAUUACUGGGCGUAAAGAGCGCGCAGGCGGUCGUUCAAGUCGCGUGUGAAAGCCCCCGGCUCAACUGGGGAGGGUCACGCGAUACUGAUCGACUCGAAGGCAGGAGAGGGUAGUGGAAUUCCCGGUGUAGUGGUGAAAUGCGUAGAUAUCGGGAGGAACACCAGUGGCGAAGGCGACUACCUGGCCUGUUCUUGACGCUGAGGCGCGAAAGCUAGGGGAGCAAACGGG
rnacentral:rRNA from 1 species